AGAGUUUGAUCCUGGCUCAGGACGAACGCUGGCGGCGUGCUUAAUGCAUGCAAGUCGAACGAAGAACCCGCUAUGGGUAACCACUGCGGAAUUCUUAGUGGCGAACGGGUGAGUAACACGUGAGAAACCUGCCCCGGAGACCGGAAUAGCCCAGGGAAACCUGGAUUAAUACCGGAUACCCUCCGACGAUCGCAUGAUCGACGGAGGAAAUGGUCCGCCGCUCCGGGAUGGUCUCGCGGCCUAUCAGUUAGUUGGUGAGGUAACGGCCCACCAAGACUACGACGGGUAGCUGGUCUGAGAGGACGAUCAGCCACACUGGGACUGAGACACGGCCCAGACUCCUACGGGAGGCAGCAGCAGGGAAUUUUGCACAAUGGGCGCAAGCCUGAUGCAGCGACGCCGCGUGGGGGAUGAAUGCCUUCGGGUUGUAAACCCCUUUCAGGAGGGACGAAGCGAAAGUGACGGUACCUCCAGAAGAAGCCCCGGCCAACUACGUGCCAGCAGCCGCGGUAAUACGUAGGGGGCGAGCGUUGUCCGGAUUUAUUGGGCGUAAAGAGCUCGUAGGCGGCUCAGCAAGUCGGCCGUGAAAGCCUGAGGCUCAACCUCAGGAUGCCGGUCGAAACUGCUGUGGCUAGGGUCCGGUAGAGGAGAGUGGAAUUCCCGGUGUAGCGGUGAAAUGCGCAGAUAUCGGGAGGAACACCAGUAGCGAAGGCGGCUCUCUGGGCCGGUACCGACGCUGAGGAGCGAAAGCUAGGGGAGCAAACAGGAUUAGAUACCCUGGUAGUCCUAGCCGUAAACGUUGGGCACUAGGUGUGGGCCUGUAUUUGGUCAGCGACUGAGCGAAAGCAUUAAGUAAUCCACCUGGGGAGUACGUUCGCAAGAAUGAAACUCAAAGGAAUUGACGGGGGCCCGCACAAGCGGAGGAACAUGUGGUUUAAUUCGAUGAUACGCGAGGAACCUUACCCGGACUUAAAUGUAGAGCGCCGGUCGCCGAAAGGUGACUUUCCUUCGGGACGAACUACAAGGUGCUGCAUGGCUGUCGUCAGCUCGUGCCGUGAGGUGUCGGGUUAAGUCCCAUAACGAGCGCAACCCCUAUCAUUAGUUGCCAGCGGAUAAUGCCGGGGACUCUAGUGAGACUGCCACCGUAAGGUGUGAGGAAGGUGGGGAUGACGUCAAGUCAGCACGGCCCUUAUGUCCGGGGCUACACACGUGUUACAAUGGCAAGUACAAAGGGUCGCUACACGGUAACGUGAUGCUAAUCUCGUAAAACUUGUCUUAGUUCGGAUCGAAGUCUGCAACUCGACUUCGUGAAGUUGGAUUCGCUAGUAAUCGUACAUCAGCAACGGUACGGUGAAUACGUUCCCGGGCCUUGUACACACCGCCCGUCAAGCCAUGGAAGCUGGGGGUGCCUGAAGUCUGUAACCGAAAGGAGCGGCCUAGGGUAAAACUGGUAACUGGGGCUAAGUCGUAACAAGGUAACC
rnacentral:rRNA from 1 species